rnacentral:rRNA from 1 species
GAUCAUGGCUCAGGAUGAACGCUGGCGGCGUGCUUAACACAUGCAAGUCGAACGAAGCACUUUACCUGAUUUCCUUCGGGGAUGAUUGUUCUGUGACUGAGUGGCGGACGGGUGAGUAACACGUAUCCAACCUGCCGAUAACUCGGGGAUAGCCUUUCGAAAGAAAGAUUAAUAUCCGAUGGUAUAUUAAAACCGCAUGGUUUUACUAUUAAAGAAUUUCGGUUAUCGAUGGGGAUGCGUUCCAUUAGUUUGUUGGG